rnacentral:rRNA from 1 species
CCCUGCCAUUUGUACACACCGCCCGUCGCUCCUACCGAUUGAAUGGUCCGGUGAAAUCUUCGGAUUGCUGGAUAGGAGGGCAACCACCUAUCUGCGAGAAGUUGCUUGAACCUUAUCAUUUAGAGGAA